rnacentral:rRNA from 1 species
UACGGAGGGUGCAAGCGUUAUCCGGAUUCACUGGGUUUAAAGGGUGCGUAGGAGGGCAGGUAAGUCAGUGGUGAAAUCUCCGAGCUUAACUUGGAAACUGCCGUUGAUACUAUCUGUCUUGAAUAUUGUGGAGGUGAGCGGAAUAUGUCAUGUAGCGGUGAAAUGCUUAGAUAUGACAUAGGACACCAAUUGCGAAGGCAGCUCGCUACACAUAUAUUGACUCUGAGGCACGAAAGCGUGGGGAUCAAACAGG